rnacentral:rRNA from 1 species
AAACUAACAAGGAUUCCCCUAGUAACGGCGAGUGAAGAGGGAAGAGCCCAAGAUUGAAAGCUGGCGUCUUCGGCGUCCGCAUUGUAAUCUCAAGAAGUGUUUUCCGCUUCGGACCAAGCCUAAGUCCCCUGGAAAGGGGCAUCAUAGAGGGUGAUAAUCCCGUACAUGGCUUGGAGCGCCCGAGGCUUUGUGAUACGCUUUCUAAGAGUCGAGUUGUUUGGGAAUGCAGCUCAAAAUGGGUGGUAAAUGCCAUCUAAGGCUAAAUAUUGGGGAGAGACCGAUAGCGAACAAGUACAGUGAUGGAAAGAUGAAAAGAACUUUGAAAAGAGAGUUAAACAGUACGUGAAAUUGCCAAAAGGGAAGGGUAGGAGGUCAGAGAUGCGGCCUGGGAUUCAGCCUUGCUUUUGCUUGGUGUUUUUCCCAGAUUGCAGGCCAACGUCGGUUUUGGGCACUGGAGAAGGGUAGGAGGAACGUGGCACCCCUCGGGGUGUGUUAUAGCCUCCUACUGGAUACAGCGACCGAGACCGAGGACAGCAGCGUACUCGCAAGAGCGGGCCUUCGGGCACCUUUACGCUUAGGGCGUUGGCAUAAUGGCCCUCUACCACCCGUCUGA